rnacentral:snoRNA from 1 species
AUGUUUAAUUGGGACAUUUUCUGAAAUAAUCUUUGAAAUCGUCUCAUGCUUUUAGAUAGCUUUCAAGGUCUCUUUGCUUAAAAGUAUGAACUUCAUUUCAAAUUU